UGGGGUGAAGUCGUAACAAGGUAGCCGUAGGAGAACCUGCGGCUGGAUCACCUCCUUUCUAAGGAGUAA
rnacentral:rRNA from 1 species